rnacentral:rRNA from 1 species
GUGACCUGCGGAAGGAUCAUUACCUAGAGUUUGUGGGCUUUGCCUGCUAUCUCUUACCCAUGUCUUUUGAGUACCUUACGUUUCCUCGGUGGGUUCGCCCACCGAUUGGACAAAUUUAAACCCUUUGCAGUUGAAAUCAGCGUCUGAAAAAACUUAAUAGUUACAACUUUCAACAACGGAUCUCUUGGUUCUGGCAUCGAUGAAGAACGCAGCGAAAUGCGAUAAGUAGUGUGAAUUGCAGAAUUCAGUGAAUCAUCGAAUCUUUGAACGCACAUUGCGCCCCUUGGUAUUCCAUGGGGCAUGCCUGUUCGAGCGUCAUUUGUACCUUCAAGCUCUGCUUGGUGUUGGGUGUUUGUCUCUUGUAGACUCGCCUUAAAACAAUUGGCAGCCGGCGUAUUGAUUUCGGAGCGCAGUACAUCUCGCGCUUUGCACUCAUAACGACGACGUCCAAAAGUACAUUUUUACACUCUUGACCUCGGAUCAGGUAGGGAUACCCGCUGAACUUAAGCAUAU